rnacentral:rRNA from 1 species
CAUCGCCUCUUGAUAUACAAACAUGAGAGGUCCCGCCUGCCCUGUGACCACAAGUUUAACGGCCGCGGUAUUUUGACCGUGCAAAGGUAGCGUAAUCACUUGUCUUUUAAAUGAAGACCUGUAUGAAUGGCAUAACGAGGGCUAAGCUGUCUCCUCUCCCCAGUCAAUGAAAUUGAUCUUUCCGUGCAGAAGCGGGAAUGAAGACAUAAGACGAGAAGACCCUAUGGAGCUUAAGACACAAGGCAGCAAACGUUAAGAUCCCUGGACAAACAGCUAUAACCAAGUUAGCGCCUGCCCCUUUGUCUUUGGUUGGGGCGACCGCGGAGGAACAAAAAUCCCCCACGUGGAACAGGACCUGCUCCUCAAGGCCAGAGCCUCGGCUCUAGUAAACAGAACAUCUGACCAUAAAGAUCCGGUAAUACCGAUCAACGGACCGAGUUACCCUAGGGAUAACAGCGCAAUCCCCUUUCAGAGCCCAUAUCGACAAGGGGGUUUACGACCUCGAUGUUGGAUCAGGACCCCCUAAUGGUGCAGCCGCUAUUAAGGGUUCGUUUGUUCAACGAUUAAAGUCCUACGUGAUCUGA